rfam:Ipomoea nil DNA, scaffold: scaffold0824, cultivar: Tokyo-kokei standard.
GCCCGUUUAGCUCAGUCGGUAGAGCGGAAGGCUCUUAACCUUGUGGUCCUGGGUUCAAGUCCCAGGGUGGGCG